rnacentral:rRNA from 1 species
CCUACGGGAGGCAGCAGUGGGGAAUUUUGGACAAUGGGGGAAACCCUGAUCCAGCCAUUCCGCGUGAGUGAAGAAGGCCUUCGGGUUGUAAAGCUCUUUCGGCAGGAACGAAACGGCGGACUCUAACAUAGUCUGUCAAUGACGGUACCUGAAGAAGAAGCACCGGCUAACUACGUGCCAGCAGCCGCGGUAAUACGUAGGGUGCGAGCGUUAAUCGGAAUUACUGGGCGUAAAGCGUGCGCAGGCGGCUUUGUAAGACGGAGGUGAAAGCCCGGGGCUAAACCUAGGAACUGCGUUCGUGACUGCAAAGCGGGAGUGCGGCAGAGGGGGGUGAAAUUCCUGGUGUAGCAGUGAAAUGCGUAGAGAUCAGGAGGAACACCGAGGGCGAAGGCAGCCCCCGGGGUUGACACUGACGCUGUUGCACGAAAGCGUGGGGAGCAAACAGGAUUAGAUACCCUUGUAGU